rnacentral:rRNA from 1 species
GAGUUUGAUCGUGGCUCAGGACGAACGCUGGCGGCGUGCUUAACACAUGCAAGUCGAACGAGAAUCUACUGAAAGAGUUUUCGGACAAUGGAAGUAGAGGAAAGUGGCGGACGGGUGAGUAACGCGUGAGGAACCUGCCUUGAAGAGGGGACAACAGUUGGAAACGACUGCUAAUACCGCAUGAUGCAUAAGGGUCGCAUGAUUCUUAUGCCAAAGAUUUAUCGCUUCAAGAUGGCCUCGCGUCUGAUUAGCUAGUUGGCGGGGUAACGGCCCACCAAGGCGACGAUCAGUAGCCGGACUGAGAGGUUGAACGGCCACAUUGGGACUGAGAUACGGCCCAGACUCCUACGGGAGGCAGCAGUGGGGAAUAUUGGGCAAUGGGCGCAAGCCUGACCCAGCAACGCCGCGUGAAGGAAGAAGGCUUUCGGUAUGUAAACUUCUAUCAGCAGGGAAGAAAAUGACGGUACCUGACUAAGAAGCCCGGCUAACUACGUGCCAGCCGCCGCAGUAAC